UUCACAAGCAGUGCGUAGGUCCACACCCAGGAUCUGAACCAGGCAGCCAAAGCAGAACGUGCAAAUUUAACCGCUGCACCAGUGGGCCGGCCCCUAAACACAGAAUCUUGAGCUUGCCUCAGCCCUGCUAAAUCAGAACCUGCAUUUAAACAAGACCUCUAAAGGGUCCAUUAUGUUUCAGUAUCUGAGAAGCACUGCCCUGGGGUGCCAUGUUCCUCCUAGUCCAUUUCUUCAUUUUGGGACUGGACCUCUGGCAGAGCCAAAUGGCUGCGGGUUGGGGGGCACCCAGAAGGUAUAACCUCUCCUCCUUGAUCCACAAUUUUUCUCCAGCUAAAAUGGUAACUCCCAGGGUCUUUUUUUUUUUUUUUUUGAGGAAGAGUAGCCCUGAGCUAACAUCUGUGCCCAUCUUCCUCCACUUUAUGCAUGGGACGCCUGCCACAGCAUGGCUUGAUCAGCGGUGUGUACGUCCGCCCCCAGGAUCCAAACCAGUGAAUCCUGGGCCACCAAAACAGAGCACGUGAACUUAACCACUGUACCACUGGGCCAGUCCCAACUCCCAGGGUCUCAAAGAAACUUCAUGGAAAUAGCACAGAAACAACACAAGAAGGCUUUGUGAAGGUCAUUUUUGUGAGUAGUGAGAAAUCAAAACAGAAGUCCCACAGAUGGGGAAGGUCUGGGGCAGGAGUGGACGCAUGCUUUGGUUCUCUGAAGCCCAGGGGAAGGGAACAAUGUGUAAUUUGUGACCCAGUGAGAGGCAGGGUAUGCUUUCUCUCAGUUUCUGUGGGAAGCACACCUGGUGGCUCAGGAGUUUACCCUGAAGGUGAGGCACUGGCUUUCCUCCCUGUCUCUGUGGGUCUCUGAUGCCUCCAUUCUUUCAUUCUCACUAACUUAGAAAAGCCAACUUGAAAAUGCUCUAAUCUGAGGGAUCAAGUGUCUUGGCCACGAUGCUAGUCCUUGCAGAGGGUGUUCUCCAGGAUUAAUAUCUGCAGAGUUUGCUCUGAGACCACCACGCACAGGACCAGUAUCCCCCUGCAACUGAAAAGGUGGCAGCACCAGAAUCAUCAGCACAGCCUAGGAGGGUUUGUGACCUGGCAGAAGGUGACUUGCAUCAGGCGAGAGGAGCCACUGUGAGGAGCUCGGGUACAUAGUUGUACAUUUUAGCCGUGGGUCCUUCUAGUUGUGGCAUGUGGGACACUGCCUCAACACGGCCUGAUGAACAGUGCCAUGUCCGCGCCCAGGAUCCGAAUCGGCGAAACCCUGGGCCACUGAAGCGGAGCGCAUGAACUUAACUGCUCGGCCACGGGGCGGGCCCCAUCGCAGCCAUUUUUAAGUGUACGGUUCAGUAGUGUCUUGCGUUUUCCGAGAUGCUCCGGAACUCUAGAAGGACAAAGAAGCAUUUCACAUCCUUCUUCAGGGAAAGCAGCACCCUCCAAGGAAGAGUGGCUCCACCCUGACUAGCCACAGAGUGGCCCAAGGCCAGUCCCAGCCAAGUUCAUAAGGAGGCCUGCCAGUGUGGCAAUGCUGAAUCACCUGCUUGGUUUACUGGCAGUGACUGGCCUCACCAUGACUGGGCAAGACUGUGAGCUUUCCCAGUCUGGGCCAGUGGAUGUACGGGCAGAAUAGAGCUGGGGGUGAGGGCAGAGGCCUGAGCAGAAUGCCAAAGCUGGGAAAUGUUGCGGGCUCCUCCCACUACGCGGCGGCCUCUCUCCACCCUUGAUUAGGUCGGCUCCUGCUUCUCUGGUCCUCACAGGGAUGGGGCUUUCCACCGCAGCCCAGGUCCCAUCAUAGUACUUCCUGUCUCCAAUGCGACUCCAACCUGACCUGCAAUUGUGGUAUCCGGCAUGGCAGGGGGUGAUCUGCACCCCACACAAGCAAUGAGUCACAGCCUGUGUGGUCCAGUCUGUGGGCUAGUCACUUCCUGUCGUUCCUGCUGGAGCCCUGCGCCAGAGCCCAGUCAUUAGACAGGCCUUGACUUUAACCCAGUUAUUCCAGAAGCACCCCCACUUGUGUCCAGGGGACCUGGGAAGCUGGUGGUGGUGAGAAUCUUCUGCUCCGUCCUCCUCCAGGCCUGCUAGUCUUUCUUCUCUGCCUGCUAGUCUCUAAGAGAUUGUCAGAGCUACUAUGCUGCCCAUAACAACAAGGCCAAAACAACAGACAACUAAGGGAGGAGGGUGACAGAAAUCAAAGAAACAGAGAAUUCUCUGUCCCAGUCCCCACAAAAGCACCGGCCCCACCGCUUCUGACAACUGGUCUGCCUCUCAGCCAGCAUCUGAGCCUACGAUGUUCCCCUUCCUGGCGACAUAGUUCAUGCCAUUCAUGGAUUGUUCCUACUUAUUAGGAAAUUAUUCCUUAUAAUGAGACCAAAUCUGCUCUCCUAUAAUAUUUUUCAUCUUUUCAUAUGUUUAUUGGAUAUUUGCAUUUCAUUCACAAAAUAUUGUACCUUCUUGUCUAAUUUUCAAACUUAUUGCUCUAAAGUUGUACCUACUAUUUUUUAUCUAUUCAAAUAUCUAUUCUUUUGUCUUCUUUCUUAUUACAAACAUUAGUUUUAUUUUCUCCUUUUUCAACUUGAUACCACUUUCCAAAUGUUUAUUUUAUUGUUUUCCCUUCAAUGAGUUAGCAUUGGGUUUGAUUGAUCAAAUUUAUUUGUUUUUGUUUUAUUUAUUUCUGCUUUUAUCUUUAGUAAUUUCUGCUUAUACUUCCUUUUGAUUUAUUUUGCUAAUCACUUGCCAGCUUCCUGCUUGAAAACUUCGUUCACUUAAUGUCAGUCUUUCUUGUUUUAUUAUCAAUGCUCCUGUGGGUAUGCGUUUUCCUGAGUAUUGCUUUGAUCACAUCUCCCAGAUCUUGACAUGUAGCUCACUAAUUAUUUCUGAAUCGUUUGUAAUUUGUUUUUUUAAAUUUCCUUUUGAAACCAAGAAUCAUUUAGAAAGCCAUUAUAAAAAUUUUCAAGUUAACAAUUUUGGCUAAAUUUUUGUUAAUUUUUUUAUUCUAUUUAUUACAUUAAGGUUAGAGAAUACAGCCUGUAUGACUUCUCACUUUUCCGUAAUUCUAAUCCACCUGACUCAGGUCUGUUCUCUGGUCCCUCUUAAAUUUUUGUUCCUCUUUCAUGGGAUGCUCCAAUAAAUAAUUGACAGCAGUUACUUAGUGGUCUCUAUGGAGGGAGGGGAGUGUGCAGUCCUCCCCGGAGCCUUUUUCGUCUUCUGAGGGCUUCUUAAACUAUUCAGAUGGCUCACGUUUCUGCCCCCCAUCCCAUCACCAUCACUGUGUGCUGAGACAGAAAAGGAAAAUCUGCUCCAAGUUAGACAUUCUCGGUAGGACGGGUGUGGCGUGCCCUCACUGUCUGGGGUUCAUCUCUGGAGCUGUUUGAGUCUCUCCACGUCCCUCCUUGGUAAACCUACAAAGUCAACACGGUGCUCGCAGCCUGCAGGGAGCUGUACGUCUCUCUCUUUUGCCCUAGAGGCUGUACUUCUCUUAUGUUUCAAAGGAAGCUUUGUCUUUAUUAUAGCCCAGACCAUCAAGUAAAGCCCCCUGCCAGCGUUUCUCACACUGUGUUCCAUGGAAAACCAGUCUCGUAGAUAUUAAUAGGCGAUGUAUAGAAAGGGGUCUGUUUGGGGACUGCUGAAUUAAACAAAGAGAACUGACCACCAUGGGCAUCUCAGAGCCUUUGUAUUCUGUGUUAAUUGACUUUGUAAGAGGAGAAGGAAGCAUGGUUGUGUUUCCCAAACUAAUCUGGAAUGCACCCCUUCUGUGGGACACGAAGUCAGUGUUCCAGAACAGACACUGUAUGCCAUGCUGCCCAACGCCCUAUUUUCAAAUGUACUCCUAUGAAGCCUUUUGUUUGUCUUGAUCAAAUUUUAUUUAGCCCAGUGAUUAGAGUCAGUUCUUAACGCUACCCUUUCAGUGGGUUUGUAUCUUGAUUUUACAAUCUAGUGUUUCUGCCACCCCUCUGGGAUUCUUACUGCCGACAGAGCAGAUCAGCCUGACACCUGUAUUCUCACGUAAUGCACAGAUAAGCGCUCAGAAAGGACAGGGCCUUGCAGUGUGCCCCUGGCAUAGGGAGGACUCACAUUUCAUUCCAUGGAAGGACUUCGAUUGGUGGAGGCUGCCUAAACCAGCACCUGUGAGACUUCCUUGUGCAGGUGAGUCACCUGGGAAUAUUGCUAAAAUGAAGAGUCUGAUUCAACGAGCUUGGAGUGGGAUCUGAGAUUUUGCAUUUCCAACGAGCUCCCUGGUGGUGCUGAUGCUGCCGUUUUGAGUAGUAAGGUGUUAGAGCACUGUGUUGAGAAGGAAUCUGAGCCUACAUUUGUGCUCAGUGGGAAAGAGUGCCAUGACUAACUAGUAACGUCUGCCAUGGGCAGACGAGUGAGCUGUGAAUACAUGCCAUCUUUGCCCUACGAGUCUCUCUCUGUUGAAAAUGAUGUAUUAUUCAAGACAGCAGAGAAAAAAUAAGUUAUUCAUAUGAUAGCAUGUUACACAAGCAUGAAAAUGGAUGUCUAUAUAUUCUAGAUGGCAUAAAUUCUAAGAUAUAUUGUUAUAUUUUUUAAAAAGGCCAGGUUGGAGAAUAAACUAUACACUACUCUCUCAUUUGUGCAAAAUAAUUGAUAAUCAUAUACUCUGACAAUAUCAAGAGUUGAUAAAGCUGUAGAAAAUGGGAACAUUCUUAGACUGCUGGUGAGAAUGUGAACAGGUAUAACCGCUUUGGAAAACUGUCUGCAUUAUUAUUAAAAUUGAAGACAUUUAUACUCUACAGCCCAGUAAUUCUCCUUCUGGGUACACACAUGAGAGAAACUCACACACCUGUUCACCAAGACCCCUGGACAAGAAUAUUCACAGCAGCAUUUUAGGUAAUAGCCCCAAAUGGAAAACAACUCAAAUGUCCCUCAAGAGGAAAAUGGAUACAUUAUUCUAAAUUCCUAAUGAAAUACUACACGAUAAUAAAAUUGACAAAACUACACCUAUAUGUGGAUGAAUAUCACAAACAAAAUCUUGACUGAAAGAAGAAAGAAACAAAAGAGGAUACAUGUAUGAUUCCAUUCUGUAAAUUUUAGAAAUAUGAAAAACUAAGGUUUAUUUCUUAGGGAUAUAUAUGCAGGUGCUAAAGUUUUCUUUUUCUAAAAUCAAACACAAGGAAAUGACUAUCAUAAAAGUCAGAAUCAUGGGCACUUAAAAGGGUGAGAUAGUUAUGAUCAGGGAAGGGCACACAGGGGAUUUGGGCAGGAGCUUCUCAUUUCUGUUCCUUCAGCUGGGUGUCAGUGAGUUUUUUUUAUUUAACUCUACAUGCAAGGUUUUUGUUUUUGCAUUUAUCUAUGUGUUAUAUACAACACAUACAAAUAUAUGUGAUUUUUGUAGAGAAUUUUUUUGGAAGGAGACAUAGGAAACUGGUAAUCAUGAUUACCCUACAGAGGAGAACCGGGCUUUGGAGUAUCCAGAUGGCAGGCUUAGCUUUCAUCUUAUUUCUUUAGUUCAGUUGGAAUGUUUUUACCAGCUCUUUCUAUUAAAAAUAGUUACUUAAAAACUAGUAUCUCCCAUUGCCCACCUCUCCCCCAGCUCCACAAAUAAAAAAAUAGCAUCAUUCUACUUAUAUGUAGAACCUUUGACAGACAUUAAUCAAUUCACCAAUAUUUAAUUGCCACAUAUCUGGGCAUAAUGGGGGAUUCCACCCCCUGUCCCCUUGAAGGUGUGACCAUGUGACUUGCUCUUGCUAAUGAAAUGUAAACAGAAGUGACAUGUGUCACAUCUGGAAAGCAGCAGUUAACAGUCAGUGCAUGUUCUCCAUCUUCCUUUCCCUCUUUGGUGGUGACCAAUGGUGUCUCAGAUGGUGGAGCCCCUGUUAACUUGGGUUCCUGAAUUGCAGUGUACAUGCAAUGUUAGUGAAAAAUAAACUUGUGUAGUUUUGAGCCAC